AACUACAUAAAAUAAGCUUGACAGGUAGCUGUUGUCAUAUUAAUACACGAUUCUUUGCGAUCAGUCAAGCCCACAUUAACCCAGCCAGGAAAGAGGUGAAAAACUUUCUUACUGGUCAAAUCCUAGAUCAUACUGAGAUCUGUUUACAGCAGCCUUACUCCAACGUAUCGAGUGUGUUAAAGCUCAUAUUUUUGUAUUUAACUUUACAAGGACUUUAAUGGUUGUUAAUGGCAAAAAACAGAUCAGGGCAUCCAUAUCUGUAACUGAUAUGCUGUAUAAAUCUGCUAAAUUAUUUCUUUGUUUUAUCAGUUAAUCAAUUGGCGGAUCAAUUAACAGGGAAAUUAAUAUUUUAUGAAAGUAAUGUCAGAAAAAAUCUAACGGAUAUCUCGAUUUACCUCCUACAGCUUUAAAACCCGUAUUUUUAUCAUUAAACAAGCAUUGAUUAUCUGUUAUUUAGGUUAUUUUCAUGAUAAUUACAUUAAAGAUGCUAUAAGGGAGAAAUAUGCCUCUGUAUUUCAUUAAAACUCAAUUUUCCUGCCUUUGUUUACAUUCUUCUAAUGAAUAUAACCUCUGAUGAAUGCACAUAAAAGUGUAUAAAAUGACAAUAAUAUGGCAUGCUGGCUCAUUAUGGUUUGUUUUAUCAAUAAAAUCCACAUAUCUGAGUCAUUUUUACUGUCCGAGUCAUGUUGGGACAUAAAGUUUUCUUCCUAAAGCCGCUCGAGGUGAAAUGUAAAGCCGGCUCUGUGGAGUCAUCCGAGGACACGGUAAAAAUAAUCCAUGUGGACGUUGGAAUCAACCAGCCGUAUGUGAACGCAGCGCAGCACUGAGGUGACAGGAGGCAACGCUGCUCUCUCUCUCUCUCUCUCUCUCUCUCACUAUAGUAUCGCCAUGGCAACAUGCCCAACGCUCUGAAGUCGCCUAGCAACAGCGGCAGGCUAUAACGAGGGAUGAACAUGGCUGCCGCCAAAAAAAAAGAAAAAAAGACACAACCCCCAUGACUGUUCGAGAGAGCAGCUGAUCCGGGCCGCCAGAUUAGAUGGGAUGAAAAUGGAAAUUCAGUACCAACACAUCUGACACCGACUGGACUGAAAUACAUCACAGAUUUCGAUGCUUCAUUUCGGUACCCCUCCACCCCAAUGCCACCCCCUGCUGCUCCAAUUGAAAGACUCUGCUCACCCUGACUGACCCCAAGAGGAAACACGAGGACACUGCAGCAGGAAGAGGAGGGACAAAGAAAGGCUAAAAAGACUUUUAAAUGGGAAAAUACUUUUGUAACAUGAAGCAUAUUUCUAAUUUCUGAUACUUAAAACACCACUGUAGUAACAAAAAUAUU